GACGUAGGGCGCGAGCGUUGUCCGGAUUUAUUGGGCGUAAAGAGCUCGUAGGCGGCUUGUCGCGUCGACUGUGAAAACCCGUGGCUCAACCAUGUGGUCUGCAGUCGAUACGGGCAGGCUAGAAUUCGGUAGGGGAGACUGGAAUUCCUGGUGUAGCGGUGAAAUGCGCAGAUAUCAGGAGGAACACCGAUGGCGAAGGCAGGUCUCUGGGCCAUUACUGACGCUGAGAAGCGAAAGCAUGGGGAGCGAACAGG
rnacentral:rRNA from 1 species